UACGAAGGGGGCUAGCGUUGCUCGGAAUCACUGGGCGUAAAGCGCACGUAGGCGGACUCUUAAGUCGGUGGUGAAAUCCUGGAGCUCAACUCCAGAACUGCCUUCGAUACUGAGAGUCUCGAGUCCGGGAGAGGUGAGUGGAAUUCCGAGUGUAGAGGUGAAAUUCGUAGAUAUUCGGAAGAACACCAGUGGCGAAGGCGACUCACUGGACACAUAUUGACGCUGAGGUGCGAAAGCGUGGGGAGCAAACAGG
rnacentral:rRNA from 1 species